GGGUGAGUAACGCGUAGGUAAUCUACCUUAAGGAUUGGGAUAGCUCUACGAAAGUAGGAUUAAUACCAUAUAUGCUCUAUUGAGUAAAGAUUUAUCGCCUUAUGAUGAGCCUGCGUUAGAUUAGUUAGUUGGUAGGGUAACGGCCUACCAAGGCGACGAUCUAUAGCCGGGUUGAGAGACUGGCCGGCCACAUUGGGACUGAGACACGGCCCAGACUCCUACGGGAGGCAGCAGCUAAGAAUCUUCCGCAAUGGACGCAAGUCUGACGGAGCGACGCCGCGUGAACGAUGAAGGCCUUACAGGUUGUAAAGUUCUUUUAUAGAAGACGAAUGUUAUGCGUAGGCAUAACUGACGGUAUUCUAUGAAUAAGGUCCGGCUAACUACGUGCCAGCAGCCGCGGUAAUACGUAGGGACCGAGCGUUGUUCGGAAUUAUUGGGCGUAAAGGGUACGUAGGCGGUCUAAUAAGUCAGAUGUGAAACCCUCGGGCUCAUCCUGAGGCCUGCGUCUGAUACUGUUAGGCUAGAGUUACGGAGAGGAAGUCGGAAUUCCUGGUGUAGGGGUGAAAUCUAUAGAUAUCAGGAAGAACAUCGGUUGCGAAGGCUGACUUCUGGACGUUAACUGACGCUGAGGUACGAAAGUUAGGGUAGCAAACAGGAUUAGAGACCCUGGUAGUCCUAACUGUAAACGUUGUAUACUAGGUGGUGGCGUUUUGAUCGCGUCACUGCCGGAGCUAACGCAUUAAGUAUACCGCCUGGGGAGUAUGCCGGCAACGGUGAAACUCAAAGGAAUUGACGGGGGCCCGCACAAGCAGUGGAGCAUGUUGUUUAAUUCGAUGAUACGCGAGGAACCUUACCAGGUCUUGACAUAUACCUGAAUGUUGUAGAGAUACAUCAGUCUUUCGGGACAGGUAUACAGGUGCUGCAUGGUUGUCGUCAGCUCGUGCCGUGAGGUGUUGGGUUAAG
rnacentral:rRNA from 1 species